UACGUAGGGGGCAAGCGUUGUCCGGAUUUAUUGGGCGUAAAGAGCGUGUAGGCGGCUAGAUAGGUCCGUUGUGAAAACUCGAGGCUCAACCUCGAGACGUCGAUGGAAACCAUCUGGCUAGAGUCCGGAAGAGGAGAGUGGAAUUCCUGGUGUAGCGGUGAAAUGCGCAGAUAUCAGGAGGAACACCGGUGGCGAAGGCGGGUCUCUGGGCCGUAACUGACGCUGGAGGAGCGAAAGCAUGGGGAGCGAACAGG
rnacentral:rRNA from 1 species